GACGAACGCUGGCGGCGUGCCUAAUACAUGCAAGUCGAACGCAGUGGGGACGGGUGAGUAACACGUGGGUAACCUCCCAUCAGAGGGGAUAACACUUGGAAACAGGUGCUAAACCGAUACUGAUGGAUGAACCCGCGGUGCAUUAGCUAGUUGGUGAGGUAACGGCGCACCAAGGCCACGAUGCAGAGACGGGCUGAGGGGGUGGUCAGCCACAGUGGGACUGAGACACGGCCCAGAGUCCACCGGGAGGCAGCAGUAGGGAAUCGUCGGCAAUGGACGAAAGUCUGACCGAGCAACGCCGCGUGAGUGAAGAAGGUUUUCGGAUCGUAAAGCUCUGUUGUUAGAGAAGCGGUAUCUAACCAGAAAGCCACGGCUAACUACGGGCCAGCAGCCGCGGUAAUAC
rnacentral:rRNA from 1 species